rnacentral:rRNA from 1 species
AGUGAACGCUGGCGGCAGGCUUAACACAUGCAAGUCGAACGCACCGCAAGGUGAGUGGCAGACGGGUGAGUAACGCGUGGGAACCUUCCCUUUGGUUCAGGAUAGCUCCGGGAAACUGGAAUUAAUACUGGAUAAGAUCUACGGAUGAAAGAUUUAUCGCCGAAGGAUGGGCCCGCGUAAGAUUAGCUAGUUGGUGAGGUAAUGGCUCACCAAGGCAAUGAUCUUUAGCUGGUCUGAGAGGAUGAUCAGCCACACUGGAACUGAGACACGGUCCAGACUCCUACGGGAGGCAGCAGUGAGGAAUAUUGGACAAUGGGCGCAAGCCUGAUCCAGCCAUGCCGCGUGAGUGAUGAAGGCCUUAGGGUUGUAAAACUCUUUUAGUAGGGAAAAUAAUGAUGGUACCGGGAGAAUAAGCUCCGGCUAACUCCGUGCCAGCAGCCGCAGUAA